GGCUGCCAAAGACAAGGCAAACUGCUCUAUUUACAGCUACCCAAACUAAGCAGGUUGAGGAUUUUGCGAACUUGUCAUUUAAGGAAAAGCCUGUAUAUGUAGGUGUU